rnacentral:rRNA from 1 species
CCCUAUGGGGUGCACCAGGCGAAUAUAAUUCCAGUAGUUGACGGAGCGCUAAAAAAAGCCGGUGUGGGUAUUGGCGAAAUCAAUGCAGUUGCCUUUACACAGGGUCCCGGCUUAAUGGGUUCGCUCCUGGUUGGAAGUUCGUUUGCCAAGGGAGUAGCCUUGUCGCGUCAAAUUCCCCUUGUUGCAGUUAACCAUUUGCAGGGGCAUGUGCUUGCCCACUUCAUCAGCGACGACAAAGCUCAGGAUCACCCAUCGUUCCCAUUCCUAUGCCUGCUGGUUUCGGGUGGGCAUACUCAGCUUAUUAUUGUUCGUAAGCCCCUUGAGGUGGAGAUUGUUGGGCAAACUAUUGAUGAUGCUGCAGGCGAAGCUUUCGACAAAUGUGCCAAGGUGAUGGGGUUACCCUACCCGGGAGAGC